rnacentral:rRNA from 1 species
UACGUAGGGGGCUAGCGUUGUCCGGAAUCAUUGGGCGUAAAGCGCGUGUAGGCGGCCCGGUAAGUCCGCUGUGAAAGUCGGGGGCUCAACCCUCGAAUGCCGGUGGAUACUGUCGGGCUCGAGUGCGGAAGAGGAGAGUGGAAUUCCCGGUGUAGCGGUGAAAUGCGCAGAUAUCGGGAAGAACACCCGUGGCUAAGGCGGCUCUCUAGUACGGUACUGACGCUGAGACGCGAAAGCGUGGGGAGCGAACAGG